UACAGAGGGGGCUAGCGUUGUUCGGAAUUACUGGGCGUAAAGGGCUCGUAGGUGGCCAACUAAGUCAGACGUGAAAUCCCUCGGCUUAACCGGGGAACUGCGUCUGAUACUGGAUGGCUUGAGAUUGGGAGAGGGACGCGGAAUUCCAGGUGUAGCGGUGAAAUGCGUAGAUAUCUGGAGGAACACCGGUGGCGAAGGCGGCGCCCUGGACCGACACUGACGCUGAGGAGCGAAAGCCAGGGGAGCAAACGGG
rnacentral:rRNA from 1 species